GCCGUAGCUCAGUUGGUUAGAGCGCCUGUCUAGUAAACAGGAGGUCAAAGGUUCAAAGAUUGAAAUUAAUUUUAGAAUUU